GACAUUGCUAUCGGAGUCCGAUUUAGCCAUGCUAGUCGUGCGAGUUCAGACUCGCGGCACCGAGCUCAGUAACACGUGGCCAAACUACCCUACAGAGAUGGAUACCCUCGGGAAACCGAGGUUAACCCGUCAUACCGAUCUCAGGCUUGAAUCGCAGAGAUCACAAAACGCCCCGGCGCUGUAGGAUGUGGCUGCGGUUGAUUAGGUAGACGGUGGGGUAACGGCCCACCGUGCCCAUAAUCCGUACAGGUUGUGAGAGCAAGAACCUGGAGACGGAAUCUGAGACAAGAUUCCGGGCCCUACGGGGCGCAGCAGGCGCGAAACCUUUACACUGCACGCACGUGCGAUAAGGGGACUCCGAGUGCGAGGGCAUAUCGUCCUCGCUUUCGUGUACCGUAGGGUGGUACACCAACAAGGGCUGGGCAAGACCGGUGCCAGCCGCCGCGGUAAUACCGGCAGCCCGAGUGAUGGCCGAUCUUAUUGGGCCUAAAGCGUCCGUAGCUGGCUGCGCAAGUCCGUCGGGAAAUCCACUCGCCCAACGAAUGGGCGUCCGACGGAAACUGCACAGCUUGGGACCGGAAGGCUCGAAGGGUACGUUCGGGGUAGGAGUGAAAUCCCAUAAUCCCGCACGGACCACCGAUGGCGAAAGCACUUCGAGAAAACGGAUCCGACAGUGAGGGACGAAAGCCAGGGUCUCCAACCGGAUUAGAUACCCGGGUAGUCCUGGCCGUAAACAAUGUUCGCUAGGUAUGACACAGACUACGCGUCUCUGUUGUGCCGUAGGGAAGCCGAGAAGCGAACCGCCUGGGAAGUACGUCG
rnacentral:rRNA from 1 species